CUAUCUAACGCAUAAUGUUUAAUACCUUCUUCUCUCUCUACCUUAUGCUUCCAUAUUGUAAUAGAAAUACAGUCAUAAUGUUCUUUGUGAAGAAAUCUCUCUGGUGAAGCUCGUUGGGCUUUCGACAACAAAUUUCUUGGGCAUUGAUAUCUUUUACGUAAGUUGAAGCUCUACUGGUCUUUCGACAACAAAUUCUUGGAUGUAAAGGUGAAUAAAUUUUAUGUUUUCUCUGCUAGUUAAUGAUUUCUAAGUCCCCGUUGAAUGAUUUUUGAAAAAUUGUAAAGAAUGAUAUAUGGGUUUGUCCUAAAUAUAUAUUAUUUGUUUUAAUAUAGGUCUGUCACAUAAUCUAGGAUUAUAGUUUGUAUUUCCUGUUUGGUGAAGAUUUGCGAACUGUUAAGCAAUUGUCUUUGAGAGGGUGAAUUUCAGUUUUAUGAGAGAAAUUUCUAUUGUAGUUUUCCCCCUUCAAAAUCACACAGGGCAUAUCUCAGGUAAAAAGAAGUCUAAGAUACUUGUCAUCCUUUUCUAUACAAAAACUGAUAUGAUGGACUGAUCAGAUUUGAAAAACUCAAGUUACAAAUCCACUAAAGAGGAUUGUCCAAAUUUGUUUGUUUUCACAAUCACCCAAAAAGAGACCAAAAUGAAUUUUUACAUUUAAAAAAAUACAGAGAGUUUCUUGACAAUCGAGACUGUCAUCACAAUCAACGUCCAAAGGGCCAACUUUGUUUAUCGAUGCUGAACGAGAUGAAUGGGACAAUGCAUAAGUUAUUACUAUAAGUGUUUUACUUGAAUGGGACAAUCUGUUACUUGUGACUUAUUAAGAAUGAUUAUGAUUUUCCUUAAGUUACCAUAAGAUUUGCUGUUAAAGCUUACUUGUUAUUGAAACUUUUUUAAGUUAUGCUGAUUUCAUGUGUGUCAAUUUGUAGAAUUUGAACAUUUACUAAUCAUGUCACAUAUCUGUGUAAAUGAAAAUUUAGAUACUUAAUGAUGUAGCAAAAUUACUAGUCAAUGGGCGAGUUGAUUACUUUGCUUAAGAAGUAGCAACACAUCAAUCUGAAAAAGCUCUCAGUACUUGUAAUAGUUGGAUUGGUGUUUCGACGGUAAGUCAAAAUCAUACUAGUGCAUAUUAUAAAAUUGUGAAUUCUUUUUAUCGUAGUAGAGAAUAAAGAGAUUGUGUCUUCCCAUCCUCAAUUUUUCUGAAAUUUCUAGUAUUAAUUGGGGUAUAUUUUGUUCUUCAUAUUAUUUGUUUGAGAUGUGCCUUAUUUUUAUUGAAGUAGAUUAAGUAAAAAGUGUUGAUUGGUGCUAUCUUGUCCUCAAUACUUAAAGAAAAUAAAACUUGAAGUUGCAAUGAUAUGAUUUUUUCAUUUCCGUGUCAAAUAUGUUGGGCAAGAGUCUAGAGUAAUUAUUCCUACAAUUUGUUUGUUGACAAUCAAACCUGACAGUCCUAACUAGAUAGUGUAGAAUAUUGGAAAUAACAAAUGUAGUCUUAGGCCAACUUUUUUUGCCAAGUCGAGACUCGCCCGAUUCCUGAUGAUGCCCCUGUCUUUAUCACUACUUUUCAACUGAGGUCGUUCCAUGUCUCCAUUUUUAUUUGGUAUAUAUAGUAUAAUGUGAUAAUAUUAAUUUAGAAAGUUAUGUAGAAAAUAAGUAUGUUUUAUGAUAUUGUGGUAGUGUACCAAUAUUAUUGCGGGUUUGGUGAGAAUCCAAACCUUUUCUUUUAUGAUUGAUCAUAACUGUUUUUUUUGGUGUAUUUUGAUGAGAUUGUGAGAAAAUAGAAGGUGUUAUUAUUACUGUUAUUAAUAUAUGGUGUCAUCAGUAAUGCAAAUUAGUGAAGGUACAUGUUUCACUGGAAGAUUCUUCUUCCUCUAUAUAGAUUUGUCUAUGUACGUAUUAAUUGGAAGAAUUUUUAUGCUAGAGUCUAAGAGAAUUUCACUGAAUGUACUUCAUGUAUGUGUUUGAAUUUAUUCCGUCUACCUUUUGAUGUUAAUAUCCAUUUCAGGGGUAGCUACUUAGAUGAAGAUUCAGGUUACACUAUUUGUUCAUGAUUCUGUUGUAAUUUUGAUUGUAAGAGCAUGUGAUAUGUGAACUCUUCUAAUCAACAGUGUGUAUGUAUUAGUGCAAUCGUGACAUGUCCGAUUUCUUUAAUAGUCUAAACUCUAAAGAGAAUCAUAUAAAAAAAGUUCAGCUUAUACAACAAACAUUACACAUUUGGCCAAAAAAAUAAUACACAAUAUGAGGUAUUUGGUCUACUAUUACACAAUCUCUUGCGAAUUUAUUUAUUUUUCUAUUGCGACUCUUUUUUUUCUUGCUCUUAUUCUUCAUUUUCCUAUUGAUGGUGAUGUGGAGGAUUAAACCAAAGACCUUCCAUGAGUUACUACAGUUUAGUACAGUUUACGUUGGAUGUUCAGUGGAUGAUUUUCUUUGCUAGCUCAAUGAAGAUGUGGGCAUUGUGCAGAUUUUUUUUUUGAGCGAAUUAUGCUUAAUUUUACAGAUUAUUAUUGUGAUGUUUUUAGAGUACUAGCUAAAAUCUGCAGAAAUUUUUGAUUGUGUUGAAAUCUGCAAUUUAAUUUUGAAGUGUAAUGUAUUAAUUAUGGUGCUUAUUUAUGGUGAAAUUGUAUUAAAACAACACAACUUAAACCUAUCCAAAUAGAAUAGUCUGCUUGAAUAGGAUAAGGAUUCAAAUUUUCAUAGAGACCUCUAUGAUACCUCUCAGAGAAAGAAUCAGGGAGUAUGUUUGAUUCUUUUCAACUUUUUCUUCCUGAAAUUCGUCAGACCCAAUUUUUCUAAAACAAGGCUUCCGUUAGCCAAUAUGGACAGCUGCUGGUAGGUGUAAAUUGUUGUAGAAUGUCGGAGUUAUGACUCCAUUUAAAUAGGAAGUUAACCGUACAGUUUGCCUCUCUAUAUUUGUGAUUGCACUUGAAGAUUUUCAGUUGAUUUGUGAGCCUUUGAAGGUCCUGAAUACACUGUUGGUGUACCAAUGGAGGGUGGCUGUUGUGAGUCUAUACCCAUGUUGCAUGCCCUAGUCCAUCUUUAUCUCUUAUUAUUUCUUGUUUCUCCAUUGGAAGGUUGGAUUUAUCAAGCUCAUAAAUGAGUUGUAAAUGAUCAAUUAAUCAAGUAUCUUGCACUUCCAAACUAUUUGGUGUCAAUAUAUGACUAAAGCUAUUCCUCUAUAUUUUCAUCCAUUUAAUUUUAAUACUGGAAAUUCUCUAAAAGUUCUCCAACUCCUACAUGUAUUGCCAUAUAGACAUACAAGUUUCUACAAACUACAACAAUACAUCCAGUAUAAUCCGUUCUAGGGAGUGUAGGAGACAUACCUUACCCCUAUCUUUGUAGGGUAGAGAGGUUCUACUAAACUAAAAGUGUCCCCGACAGGCACCAUAUUUAAUGUAACAGUAAUAACAACAACUAAACCUUAAUUUGAACUAGCUGUCACUUUCCAUAUGGUUUUUUUGCUUCCAUUAUCUUCUAUUAUUAUCUAAAUCCGCAUUGGUUCAAUAAAUCAUAGGAUCUUUCAGAUAGCCUCCUUCUGUUUGAUUUUAUUUCUACCUUGUCCUCUUUAAGCACCUUAAACGAUCAUAAUGUCACACCUACAACAAACUUAUUCAACAUGGUCAAACCAUCUUCGGUGAUAGUUUUUCUCAUUUUUAUCAUUUAUGUCCAAUCUGAUGCAGUUGUUUCCAGAUUUGUCCAUUCUUGUUCAAAUGCAUAGCUUCUCAUGCAACCAUUCUGUAAAAUUUUCUUACUUUGUUAGGCACUGCAUUCAAUGAAAAUAUCUUUGUAUCUCUACCCACUGUUCUCACACUUGUAACUGCUCGUUUGGACUAUCCUUUAUCGUAUUAAUAUUUGAUAUGGAUUCUUUAUUUUCAAACUACUUUACUGGCAUUACCAUAUGCUUUCUAUAGUUCACUAAGUAUCAUGUACAUUACCUUCUCGCUGUAAGAAUUUCUACAAAUCCUAACAGAAGUCCUCUGUUUUUACAAGAAUACCAAUCAUGAACAUUACACGUACAUGAUGGUGACUAGUUUGGUAUUUCUUUUGUUCCUUUGUUCUCUGGUUUGGUAACAAAACUGAUAGAACUAGCUUAAGGUAGUUGUUCUGGUCGGAGAGGGAUGUAUGGUAUUCUUUACAUCGUUUCCAGUUGUGUUGAGAUGCAUGCAUUUAUUUUGGGAUUAUAGACUUCUAACUCCCCAGGUUGAAACUUCUGGCAGCAAGUUGCGGAAAAGUUUUAGAUUAGUCCAUGCUCCAUGUAUAUAGUUAAAUGAUUUUUGAGUUUAUUGAGUUUAUAUGUAUAUCUGACAUAUAAAGUAAUAACCUUGUAAUAUAUGACUACUGUGGAUCCAUAAAACUUUUGCGAAAAAAUUGGUAAUUUAUUUAUAUUUUUUCUAAUUGUAUGUAGGCGAUGAAACCGAAGAAGGCUAUCAAAGCAGUAAUGAAGACGUAACAUAGAAGCUAAGAUAUUGUCAAUGUUAACUUUACUGAUGUUUGUGUUUCACCUUUUUUUGAAUGGUAAAAAAGUACUUGUAUAUUUUUUUAGAGAAAAGACAUAAAGUGAUAAAAAGACACCUUAACUAUGCAGGUAUUCUAUUACCACCCUAAACAAUUUCGAACAUAUAUUAUUACAUCAUUUUUCGAUCAAUUUCAGACAUUAAAUGACAAGUCUUAUCACACACCAAACAUUAUGUGACAUGUGUUAAUUUAAUUUUGAAAUAUUUUUUUAAAUUUUAAGUUUUUUUAUUUCUCUUACUUUUUGACUUAUUUUUAAUGUUAUUACUUUGAUUUUAAUUUCAUUUCAGUUUUUUAUGCAUCUUCCACCUCUACUUUCAAGCUCCCUCCAUUUUCUUUCUUUCUGCUUCUACUUCACCUCUCACUGUCACCUUACCCCACCCCACAUCAAGUUGAGACCCUUCAUUUUCUCUCUUUUCUUCUUCAUAUUCGGUCAAAUUUCUUACUUUUCAAAAAUUAUAUUAUUUUCUAGAAUUUGUUGAGUUAUGGAUAACAAAACUACUUAUUUUUCUAAGAAAGAUCAAAAUUUUGAAGGUAUCAUCAUUUAAUUUAUUUCAUUUGCAUAUAAAUUCAAAACAUGAAGUGAUAAUUUUUAAAGUAUAAGAAUUCUCC
rnacentral:lncRNA from 1 species